CGUAGGCGCGGCCGCGGCGCAGCGCGUCGCCCCCUGCCGCAUUGCCAUGGCUGCCCGUGGUGGCGUCGCCUCUGCCGGCGAGGGGCUGCGCUACGCCGAGUACUCGCCGCCCUCGACCAGGCGACCGGACGCGGACAUCGACCAGGGACUGGCAAGAAGUUUGAUAGCUGUAGGACUGGGUGUUGCAGCUCUUGCUUUUGCAGGUCGCUAUGCAUUUCAGAUCUGGAAACCUCUAGAACAAGUAAUCACAGAUGCCGCCAAGAAGAUUUCAGCUCCUAGCCUGUCAUCCUACUAUAAAGGAGGAUUUGAGCAGAAAAUGAGUAGGCGAGAAGCUAGUCUUAUUUUGGGUGUAAGCCCGUCUGCUGGUAAGGCCAAGAUUAGGACAGCUCACAGGAGAAUCAUGAUUUUGAAUCACCCAGAUAAAGGUGGAUCUCCUUACUUAGCAACCAAAAUAAAUGAAGCAAAAGACUUGCUGGAAGCAACCACCAAACAUUGAUUGAUACUCAAGGACCACUCUGAAGGAAAAGAAGGGGGAACUUAAAAAAAAGAAUUCUGCAAAUUAAUCUAAACCCUAGCCUUCAUAAUUUCAUACGUCCCCGGGUCAUCAUCAGUUUAAUCCAAAGGUGAGAAAACAGCUUCAGAUACAGUGUACCAGCAUUAUUCUCCAGUACUCUUCUUUACAGAUCCUGGGUUCAUCUUGGGUAAGCUGAGCUACUGUAUUUCAUUUAUCUUAAAAUACUUUUUUAAUAUUGUAGAUACAUCUUUCAAUUUAUGACAUCCUGUAGUUCGGGAGUUCUCAACAUUGGUAAUAUUGACAUAUGGAGCUGAGUAAUUCCUCUUUGUGGGAAGCUCUUCUGUGCUUUGUAGGAUAAUUAGCAACAUCCAUCCUUGUACCUCUAAAGGCCAGUAGCACGCACCCCUUCAGUUGUGACAACCAAAAAUGUUUGCAGACAUUACCUGAUGUUCCUUGGAGGGCAAAAUCACCUCUAUUUGAGAGCCACUGCUGUGAAUGUUAAGUAUUUUUUCUUUUGGUACAUAAAAUAAUGGCCUGACUUAAUGAAUCUUAGAGUCACUAAAAUAUGGUUCUUGGUGUACAGUCCCGGCGCCUGUCCUCAUUUUCUUGGUGCCUCGGUAUUUUUCAUUUUUCUGCUCACUGUUAUCCCUGUACCUCGAAUGCCCUCCUAAUUCCCAGAUCUCCACAUGCCCAAAGCCUAGGGAUAUAGUUCAAGGCUAAGCUAAAAUGUAUCCCUCCUUUUCUGGUGCUUCCAGCAAAAGUAAUAUCAGGAAUCCUCCGCCCUUUGAGAGCAAGAACCAUCUCUCUCAUUCACGACUACAUUGGCACCCAAUAAAUAUUUGUGGAAUGAGUGAAUAAGGUCCCAUAGCACUUUAUUCCUCACUUCCUGUACUUACAACUUGGUACCUUGUGAAACAACGCUUUGUGUAACAUGCCUUAUUUCUCCUACUAAAAUGCAAGAAGCUUUAGAGCAAGAACCUGGUCUUCCAUCUUGUAACCUCUCUUUAGUAUGGAGCUGUUGCACUUAGUAAACACCAUGGAGCUGUAAGGACUAAGAAAAUGUUUUCUGGAUACUAUGCUUCAAAAAAUGUUACCACUAAUUUUGAAAGUUAUGCUAAGAAGUGUUGGGCACCCUCAGGACACAGCUUUAAAUCGACAUCAUAUUUUUUAAUGUGCAAUGUGUUCAUAAGACUUUGAGUCCCCAGCAUUAGCUUGGAAUUUCCUUAGUUCCCAUUUUCCUGCCCAGCAUAUGCCCAAGAGUCAGACAGAUCUGGUUUGAAUACUGUCCACCUAUUACAUGAAUUUGGGCAGUUAAUCUGCAAGUGUGUAAUUGCCUUAUCUGUAAAAUAGAGAAAAUAAUAAUCCUAUCUAAUAAGAUUGUUGUAGGGAGUAAGGGCAUGUAAAGCAUUUAGUCACAUAGCAAAUGCUCAAAAAAUGUAAUUAUUCCUUCUUUCACUGCCCCAUUUAAUUUUUUUAAAUCUUUUAGAAUACCUUGAAUUAAGGUUUGAGGUGUGUUCCAGUAAUCAUUUAUUUUACUCUUGAUCUGCAGUUUGGAUAGUACAUGGUAGAGAAGCUUGUCUCUGUUCCUUGCGGCAUCAGGGGGCGCUGGAGGAGCCACUUCAUGUGGCUGGCAAGUUGGGACUAGCUGUUGGCUGGGAGGUUAACCUGGGCUUGGCCAGGGGCCUCCGUUCCUCUCUACACAGGCUUCUCCACAGGGCUCCAAGAACAUCAUCACACCAUGGUGGCUGUGUUACAAGAGAAAGUGGUCUGAGAGAGACAAGGAAGCUGCAAACUCAGCCUGGGUCUGAAAACUGGCCAUUGUUCCAACAGUCGUAGAGCCUAGAUUCAAAGGGAGAGUUUAUAGGGGGCUGCAGAAGAAUUAGUGGCCACCUUUAAUAUGUGGCAGGGCAGGUUUGGGAUGUUUUUUUCCCUCCUUAAUCAAAUCAGUGCAGGCGUUGCUUUAAAAAAAGUUUCAGCAAUGUAGAAUUUAAGUGCAACUAGCUAGAGUAGUUUCAGAUGAUACAACUCCUAUUUUAGGUAGAUGUUAAUUCAGUAGUCAUUCUCUAAAUGGCAAUGUACUUAUAAAAUUGGAUUUUAAACAGCUACCCACCCUCAACUCCUUAAUAUCUGUAAAAAGCUUACUUGAAUGGUUACCUAUCUUCGGUAAAGAUUGCUUUUACAUAUUUGCUGUCAUUGCAUAUUCUUCUUAAUUAAGUUCUUGUUGAUAUUGCAGUUUCUGUUUAUUCUUACAUCUUAAAUGCAAUCUGAGGGAGCAGGAAAGACCUUUUAAAAACAAAACAAUUACUUCCCAGAUUCCAGAGAAAGUGUAAGUCAAAUGGGCAGUUAAUUAAAGGCGAGCACAGAAUGCCAUUUAGACUAUAUAGUUGAUGGUGCCGAUCUCUAGCAUAAAGUCAAAAGUAAAGAGUGUAGUAAGGAAAAAACUAUAUUGAUUGUGGAAGACAUUGUUUUAUUUAGUGUUCAAAUAAUUUCCUUUAUUUGGUUUGAGAUGCAAUUUAGUCAUUUGGCAAAUAUUGAACAUUUAAUAUGUCAGGCAGUAAAGAUAUAAAAUAAGUUCAUUGUUAAAAUGUGUAGUAUGCUCAAAACUAAAUAGAAAAAAACCAGCUUCUUAAACAUAGAAGCUGUUUUAUUUUGCGUGAUAGUUUUGAAUUAAGAAAUAUUAAGGGUUGUAUUACUAGGCAUGCUUGUGAUUACUCAGCAGGGUCAUUAGAAAUAACAUUUUAUCCAAGUACAGAAAUCCUUUGGUUGUCAUGAGGAACCUUCAACACAGAAAAGAGCUUUUAAUGACAUAUCUUCACCACAUUUAGCAAUUAGCUUAAGGUAGUUUAAUGACAUUUGUGGGAGAAGAUGAAUCAGCCUGGCCCUUAAUGUCAAAAAUAUGAAGUUUCUCUGACUCAACCGCCUUAAGAUGAGCUACCGAGACUGCAGUGAGAAGUUGAAUAUCCAAGUAGGCCAGCUCAUUUCGCACAGUGGGAACCAGGCCGUCCACUGGCACUCUGCGCCUUGCCCAGCAGUCACCUCCUGGAUAAAAGCCUCUGGCUACAAGGAUGAUUUGAUGGCACUGAAUAAAUGUGUCAGCAUCGUGCCUGCCUCCUAAUGGAAAGGCAACCCAAAGAGCAUAUCCUGUUAACACCAGAUCAGUAUCAUCUUCUUGUCAAAAACAUUCCAUGAAUUAUGAGCCAAAAUUUUAUUUAUGAUGGAGUUACACACAUUAGGAAAUUAGAAUUUUUGUUAGUAUAAUUUAUUAGCUGAAAAAGUUGAGAAGGUCCUCUGGACUCAUUUUUUAGGUGGAAUAUAAGUGAGCUGGAUCGUUGCCCACCAGUGAAAUUGCUGGGCAUGGUAGACAAAAAUGUUCCUUCUAAUGAUUUUUAUGAGCUGACUAGCUAUUGUUCCCAGCUGAGUGCUCUUUUCCUUUUUUUAUUGUUGCUGAGCAAAAGAAUUUAUAAAAGUUUUUUUUAUUAAAAACUCUGCUCAAUUGAAAUGCAAGUUCGUUAAGUACUGUUCAUUUCUCUUCCUGCCAUAAUAACCCUAUCACCCUCUGCUCUAUUCAACAGUGCCUGGCAGCACUGAUCAACAUUUUAAGUCUGAACAGACUAUUACGUAGAUACAGAUAUGCAAUCUCCAACAUCAAGAGGGAGUUUACUUUCACCUGGGCAGAAUAUGAUCACUCGGGCUAGGUGUUGGCUGUACAUUUCAAAAUAGUACCUCAACCUACAGGCAGAAAAUGCCGCUGGAAAAUUAAAUCAAUAGUGGAAAACAGUUCUAUUUUGACAAGAUGAAAAUCACAUUGAGAAGCUAGUUCAAUAUUGAGAUCUAAGCUAUGGUGCUAAAGACCAAGAAAUUAGAAUCAGCUCAUUUUCAUAAAUCCAAAAUAUUUUAAUAAUAAUCACGAAUGCUUGUUGAGCACCUUGUGCCUAGCAUCCUACCUGCAUUAUCUCUUAAUUUUCAUGGCACCCCUAAGAUAGGUACUAUUUUUAUCCCCAUUUUACAGAUGAAGAAAGAAAGGUUGGAGGAGUUUAGGAGCUUUGCCAAGAUUUCAUAUCUAGUAAGUAAUGGUACUGGGAUCCGAAUCCAAUUUGAUUUGACUUGAAGCACUUGCUCUUUACCUGUCCAUUAUAUUGUACUAAUUCUAGAUAUGUAGAAAUCAGAAUGAAGGGGUUUGCGUGGCUCUGGCUCAUUCUUUGAUGUUUGUGAUCUUGGGUUAUAGAUUGCAAAAAUAGGUUUGGGGAAGGAUCCAGUGUCAUUUGGCAUUAUGAGCAAGGAGUACCUAAUAUCUUUAAUUCUGCUGGAAGCUUGUGAUGUCCAUCCAGUUUAGCUGUGUGUGUUUGUCCAAUUUAGACCGGGAAUGGAAGAAACUUUGAUGAGAUUUUAUUUGAAACAUUCAUGGGCAAGAGCUUUCAAGGAGAACAUCUAGAGCAAGGUUCAGAGGACAGCUCAUGAGAGUGAAGCCGCAGACCUUGGGAGAGAAAUAAAGAAAUUGCUCAAUAUCAUAAAGAUGAGAAUAAGAAAGAUGAAUUUAUUGAAAGGAGCAGAGAGACCACAAAAAAGUUAAAAGGUGAGACAACUGAAACAAGAAGAGAUAACAGCAUUUGAAAGGGAGAUGCAGUGCUCAGUUAGAGAUUUUGAAAAUUGCUUUCAAAUAUUCCCAACUGUGGACUAGGUUAUUUGUUCAUGCCAUGCUUCUAUGCCAAGUUCCAAAAUUAUAUUGUGCACGGUUAUAGGAGAACCCAUAGAACCAAUCUAAGAAUGUGUCUGAGAUUAUCACUUAACUUUCUAUGCUUUCAGCUUCUCUAAUCAAAUGGUGGAAAGGUUUCUAACUCCUUAUAGCAGACUUGUGAGUUCUUUGAGCAUUAGAUACACCUAUAUUCAAAAAUAAAUGCAUUCUGAAGCCAACUCCAUGAUCUUUCCAUUUGUCAACUCUUGGAUUAUCAGUGCCUUUGCCCUGUCCUUCUAUGAAUGUGGAUAAUCAAGAGGUGACUUUAGAAGUGUUUACAUUUUGGCUUCCAUGCCUCUGGAGUAGGAUGAAAUUAUCUAAUAAUGUUUGUCCUCUGGUGGUUCGAUGUCAGACUAUAUUUGCAUAGUCUGCAUCUCUCAUGCUGUCCUGGAGUGUUGUAUAGUGCAGUGUUGCACAAAGCAGCAUGUACACAAAGAAACACAACCUGCCCUAAUUAACCCCACUUGGAUCUAAUUUACGCUUUGUUCCUCAGCUUCUUGGUACUUAGGUAUUCAGUUUGCAUUCUAGUCUAUUACAUUUUGUACUCACUUAUACUAUCUACUUGUUUGGGCUUUGUUUCCCUUGUAAACAAAUAUUUUUUAGUCCAAUAUGUGAAAAUGUGGAUAUAAACAAACACACACACACUGUUGUGUUAUGCUUUAAAAUUGUAAAGGAUAGACUGUAAGAUACUUUUAUCUGUUUAGUUUUCCCAACGCAGUUAUAAUUAAAUCUGACUCACUAGAAUUGAACUUACACUCAACUUUUUCCCUUGUACAGCUCUUGAAGAAAAGAUGCUAACCUUCUGUGUUAUAUAACUUCAUCUGCACUGUGAGCUUUCAUGCAGGUACUGCUUUUAUUUCUCUUAGGCCUCUCUGCUUCGUGAGAUGCUUGGCCUGGUUGUCCCUCAGAACACAGUAUUGAUUGAUUCACUUCUAAGGACAACUGUCAGAAAGCAAAAUCAUAGACAUGGAUUUUCUUAGAAGCCAUUAAUGAAACUUGGGUUUUUACCCUUCAUACCAAAAUAAGCAAAGAAAAACAGUAGAAAUAAGCCCAAUAAUACUUUAAAAUGGAUCUUUGAAUUUAUCUUGUAAUGCAAAUACCAAAGAAAGUGCAUGCUUCCUUCGUUUGUUUCCUUCCCUCUUGCCUCAGGAUCUUCAUAUCAAUUUUUGGCCUGCAGCACUUUUAACUGCAUAAGGAACUCUAAACAUAGGCAUUGGUAAGAGAAAUGCUGACACAACCAAACUGUCACCCCUAGAAUAUGUUAUUGAAUACGUCUGUGCAAAUGCCUGGAUCCCAUACUUAGUGAAAGUGAAGAGUAAGGCCGCUGUUCAGUUUCCAACUCCUGAGAAGAGGAGAGCACUCAUAGAUGUGCUCUUUGUUUCUCCCCUCUCGUCCUUUCAUCCUCUUUCCCCCGUGACAUGGUCACAUCUUAAUUGUCUACCAGUGCCAGUGAGACCUUCAGUGGGUACGGUGCAUGUUGCAGUUGUUCAGCUGGGCUGGGAGGCUCUCGUGUUGUCAGGAGGCACCAUCCUGUGAUGGGGAAGGAGGACUGACUGUGGGGCUGACAUACCGUAAAGGUCUGUCUACCAUAAAAUACAAGCUUGGAUUCUGUUUCAUCAGGGGAGAAAUAUGUUUUUCACAGCAGCCUGGUGAAUGAAGACCAAUGUACAGAAUCACACGGUGAACAGGUUAUCCUUGAGUCUGUAGAUGGGACUUAGGAAUGCACAUCAGUUUUCUGUGCAGACAGAAUUGAGAACAUAUUACCAAGAUACGAAAACUACAGGAAUAUGUAUGGAGUGGGGGAUGUUACAUUUUAAGAAAUGUACUAAAGGGAAAAAUCUGAGAAAACUUGAAAACAUGAAGUGAUGAAAUUAUUAAUUUGAAUUUUUUGCUUAAAAUACGUGUGAAGUAGCUAUUCCUACAUAUAGUCUAUGUAGAAAAACAAAGACAAAUAGCUUAUUUUCAUGUAUUACCAUCUUCCUUUUCGGACUGAAUUUUCAGCAGAACAAGAAUGCCUACGGGCAGUUCCUGGGGUCUGUGUGGGGCUCAGUCACACUCUCAGUUUGUUACAGCUUCUUCCCUCAGGGCUGAGUCAAGUGUCUGGUGUCAGCAGGUCUGGGGGCCUCGUGUAUUUCUUAAUAUCAAGGGAGAAGGGUGUUUUCCCCCAAAGCCUGGCUGACAGUUACUCCUGGUGAAAGAAGAACAAUCUGGCUGACAAAUUUGUCACCCAUCUAAACUGGCCAGAAAAAUUUGGAGCCACGAACACCUAGUUAGCGGAGGUCAGCAGGAGGUCAGGCAGUAAUUGUUCAGAGCCUCAUUCACUGGCUGCAGUGGAACUCCGUGGUAUAAAUUGGCUUUAGGGGACAAAUUGAUCAACCAAAAAAGGCCGAAAUCCUUUUAGUGUUCGGGUUACAACAAGGGUUCUGACUUUCUAGAUUCAAUGAGGAAACGCGCGGCAGUUGACUUUGCUUAACUUUAGGUUUUGUGUGCCCCUUCCAACCCCCAACAGCAGCCAUUUCUUGUUCUCAAGGCUUCUUAGCCUAAGACAGAGCUUUAGGUUUUUGCCGUCUGGGAGUUAUAAAUCCACAAGGGCAGUGGAAGUUUUUCUUUCUCGUAAUAAGCCGAGCUGCCUUUGUUCUCUCCUACUCUUGGUCUUUUUUCCACUUUUGCGCCAGUUAGACCUGCGUCAGCCUGCGAUGCAGGCACAGCAGCGGGCACUGGAGUGUAAUUCCUGCCGGGCCAUCCAUGAGCUCUCGUCCAGCUCCCAGCUGGUCUCGCCUUGUGUUCUCCUCUUGGAGUACCACCCACCUACCUGCCCACAGAGCGAGACAGUGAGACUGAGAAAGGAACAGGAAAUAAUGAGGAGAAAUGCAUGGAAUGUUCUGGACUCCUUGAAGAGAGGUAUUUGUUCAAGGCAUUGUUAAUAUUUUUGCGAGGAAUAGGAACAUUGAUUUUUCGUCCAAGAGCCAUUCUGCAUUUGCACAGAGUCACUAGAGUGUUGAACCUUUCUCUUUUGUAAAUGAGUGAAGUGCCUCACUCAUGGCAUAAUAGCACAGACUUUGAAUUUGCUAUUUUUCAUGUCCAGCUCCAGACAUGAAUCUUCGCUCCAUUUUGCGGUGGCUGGGACAUCUUCUAUUCAUUUCAAUCUAUCUUGGGUAAUACUGCAUUGUUUUAAGUUUUCUCUCUGGGGCCCAGUGUGUGAGUUAGCCAACGUCAAGCACAUACUCCAUUGUGCAUAGAAUGCUCUGUAUAGGCUCCAUGCUGCAAACUUACCACACGAUGGGUUUCAAAUUUCCCUUUGCACCCCAGCCAAUCAUGUGUCCGACUAUGUCUUGAAGCCAGUUAGUGUUUGUACAGAGCCAGGUACCAAGCUGCCAGGUGACAUCUGCAUGUGACUUGCAUUGCUCUAAUGGCAUCUGCAUAUGUUCAGCUGUGUAUGAAGAUGUUUUUCACUUGAUACGGAGUCAUCUUUGGUCUUGUUCUCCACCCUCCCCAUUAAGCAGACACACCUACACGUGUUACCGAUUUGAUCUGCUUUCAGAGGAGGGUGGUGCCUAGUGUUUCUCUUCCUGGUGCUAACAUUUACGCAAUGCCUCUUCGGAAACUGUAUCCCGCAUCCAAAGUGCUUUCAGAAGGGAGGGGGCAAAAAAUCUUUGUGUUAUUAUCAAGGCAUUUUCUGAUAAUAUUGCAUGUCUCCCCUAAAUUAUUCAAUAAAGAUUUAUUUGAACA